UACGUAGGGUGCAAGCGUUAAUCGGAAUUACUGGGCGUAAAGCGUGCGCAGGCGGUUUUGUAAGUCUGACGUGAAAUCCCCCGGGCUCAACCUGGGAAUUGCGUUGGAGACUGCAAGGCUAGAAUCUGGCAGAGGGGGGGUAGAAUUCCACGUGUAGCAGUGAAAUGCGUAGAGAUGUGGAGGAACACCGAUGGCGAAGGCAGCCCCCUGGGUCAAGAUUGACGCUCAUGCACGAA
rnacentral:rRNA from 1 species